AGCAGCCGCGGUAAUUCCAGCUCCAAUAGCGUAUAUUAAAGUUGUUGCAGUUAAAAAGCUCGUAGUUGAACCUCGGGGUCUACCCAUUGGUCAGGCUUAAUUGUCUGCACUGGUGAGAUGGAUCUCUACCUUCUGAGGAACUUUCAUGCCAUUUAUUUGGUGUGAUGGGAAAUCAGGACUGUUACUUUGAAAAAAUUGGAGUGUUUAAAGCAGACUAUCGUCUGAAUACAUUAGCAUGGAAUAAUGAAAUAGGACGGACUGAUUCUAUUUCGUUAGGUUUCUAGGAUCACCGUAAUGAUUAAUAGGGAUAGUUGGGGGCAUUAGUAU
rnacentral:rRNA from 1 species